rnacentral:rRNA from 1 species
AGAGUUUGAUCAUGGCUCAGGAUGAACGCUGGCGGCGUGCCUAACACAUGCAAGUCGAACGGGAACCCUUGGAUUCGUCUGGGGGGGAGAGUGGCGGACGGGUGAGUAACACGUAGGUGACCUGCCCCAAAGCGGAGAAUAACCAUUGGAAACGGUGGCUAAUACUCCAUGUGCUCGGGAGUUCAGUCUGUCGAGUAAAGCUCCGGCGCUUUGGGAGGGGCCUGCGGCCCAUCAGGUAGUUGGUAGGGUAAUGGCCUACCAAGCCAAUGACGGGUAGGGGGCGUGAGAGCGUGAUCCCCCACACUGGCACUGAGACACGGGCCAGACUCCUACGGGUGGCAGCAGUGAGGAAUAUUGCCCAAUGGACGAAAGUCUGAGGCAGCAACGCCGCGUGAGCGAUGAAGGCCUUCGGGUUGUAAAGCUCUUUUCUGGGGGACGAGGAAGGACGGUACCUCAGGAAUAAGUCACGGCUAACUACGUGCCAGCAGCCGCGGUAAUACGUAGGUGGCGAGCGUUAUCCGGAUUUACUGGGCGUAAAGCGCGUGUAGGCGGUUUCGUAAGUCGGAUGUGAAAGCUCCUGGCUCAACUGGGAGAGGCCAUUCGAUACUGCGGGACUUGAGGACGGGAGAGGGACGUGGAAUUCCCGGUGUAGUGGUGGAAUGCGUAGAUAUCGGGAGACACCAGUGGCGAAGCGACGUCCUGGCCGCACUGACGCUAAACGCGAAGCGUGGGUACGAACGGGAUAGAUCCCGGUAGUCCCGCUGUAACGGGGAUCUAGGGUUG